UACGGAGGGUGCGAGCGUUGUCCGGAAUCACUGGGCGUAAAGGGCGCGUAGGCGGCCUGAUAAGUAGGGGGUGAAAUCCUGCGGCUUAACCGCAGGGCUGCCUUCUAAACUGUCAGGCUCGAGCACAGUAGAGGCAGGUGGAAUUCCCGGUGUAGCGGUGAAAUGCGCAGAUAUCGGGAGGAACACCAAUUGCGAAGGCAGCUCGCUGGGACGUCACUGACGCUGAGACGCGAAAGCGUGGGGAGCAAACAGG
rnacentral:rRNA from 1 species